ACGAUCAUAGCCAUAGGAAAACUCGGGAUCCCGUCCGCUCUCCCAUAGAUAAGUCGGUGAGCGUAGGGGCCAUGCUACUGGAAGGGCAUUAGUACUUGCA